rnacentral:rRNA from 1 species
AUUGAACGCUGGCGGCAUGCCUUACACAUGCAAGUCGAACGGUAACGGGCCUUCGGGUGCCGACGAGUGGCGAACGGGUGAGUAAUGCAUCGGAACGUACCUUUCAGUGGGGGAUAACGUAGCGAAAGUUACGCUAAUACCGCAUAUUCUGUGAGCAGGAAAGCAGGGGAUCGCAAGACCUUGCGCUGAUUGAGCGGCCGAUGUCAGAUUAGCUAGUUGGUGAGGUAAAGGCUCACCAAGGCGACGAUCUGUAGCGGGUCUGAGAGGAUGAUCCGCCGCGCUGUAACUGAGACACGGUCCAGACUCCUACGGGAGGCAGCAGUGGGGAAUUUUGGACAAUGGGGGCAACCCUGAUCCGGCCAUGCCGCGUGAGUGAAGAAGGCCUUCGGGUUGUAAAGCUCUUUCGGCCGGGAAGAAAUCGUAUGGGCUAAUACCCUGUGCGGAUGACGGUACCGGCAUAAGAAGCACCGGCUAACUCUGUGCCAGCCGCCGCCGUAAAAC